CGUUAGCGGCGGACGGGUGAGUAACACGUGGGUAACCUACCUAUAAGACUGGGAUAACUUCGGGAAACCGGAGCUAAUACCGGAUAAUAUUUCGAACCGCAUGGUUCGAUAGUGAAAGAUGGUUUUGCUAUCACUUAUAGAUGGACCCGCGCCGUAUUAGCUAGUUGGUAAGGUAACGGCUUACCAAGGCGACGAUACGUAGCCGACCUGAGAGGGUGAUCGGCCACACUGGAACUGAGACACGGUCCAGACUCCUACUGGAGGCAGCAGAC
rnacentral:rRNA from 1 species